rnacentral:rRNA from 1 species
GUAGGCGGCUUGGCAAGUUGGGUGUGAAAUCCCUCGGCUCAACCGAGAAACUGCGCUCAAAACUGCCAAGUUAGAGGAAGAUAGAGGUGAGCGGAACUAAUGGUGGAGCGGUGAAAUGCGUUGAUAUCAUUAGGAACACCUGUGGCGAAAGCGGCUCACUGGAUCCUUUCUGACGCUGAGGCACGAAAGCUAGGGUAGCGAACGGGAUUAGAUACCCCGGUAGUCCUAGCCGUAAACGAUGAGCACUAGGUUGGAGGCUCCUUCAUAGGCUUCCGACCGAAGCGAAAGUGUUAUGUGUUUCUCUUUUGGGAGUAUGGUCGCAAGGCUGAAACUCAAAGGAAUUGACGGGGGCUCACACAAAUCACUAGUGAAUUCGCGGCCGCCUGCAGGUCGACCAUAUGGGAGAGCUCCCAACGCGUUGGAUGCAUAGCUUGAGUAUUCUAUAGUGUCACCUAGAAUAGCUUGGCGUAAUCAUGGUCAUAGCUGUUUCCUGACAUUCCGGGGUUUUU